rnacentral:rRNA from 1 species
GCCUAACACAUGCAAGUCGAACGGAGUUAUUUUGGAAAGUUCCUUCGGGGACUGGAAUCUAUAACUUAGUGGCGGACGGGUGAGUAACGCGUGAGCAAUCUGCCUUUAGGAGGGGGAUAACAGUCGGAAACGGCUGCUAAUACCGCAUAAUACGUUUUAGAGGCAUCUCUUGAACGUCAAAGAUUUUAUCGCCUUUAGAUGAGCUCGCGUCUGAUUAGCUAGUUGGCGGGGUAACGGCCCACCAAGGCGACGAUCAGUAGCCGGACUGAGAGGUUGAACGGCCACAUUGGGACUGAGACACGGCCCAGACUCCUACGGGAGGCAGCAGUGGGGAAUAUUGCGCAAUGGGGGCAACCCUGACGCAGCAACGCCGCGUGAUUGAAGAAGGCCUUCGGGUUGUAAAGAUCUUUAAUCAGGGACGAAGAAUGACGGUACCUGAAGAAUAAGCUCCGGCUAACUACGUGCCAGCAGCCGCGGUAAUACGUAGGGAGCAAGCGUUAUCCGGAUUUACUGGGUGUAAAGGGCGCGCAGGCGGGCCGGCAAGUUGGGAGUGAAAUCCGGGGGCUUAACCCCCGAACUGCUUUCAAAACUGCUGGUCUUGAGUGAUGGAG